UAUAUGGAGGUCCCAGGCUAGGGGUCGAAUCGGAGCUGUAGCCGCGGGCCUAUGCUACAGCCACAGCAACUCGGGAUCUGAGCCUUGUCUGCGACCUACACCACAGCUCACAGCAAUGCCAAAUUCUUAACACACUGAGCAAGGCCAAGGAUUGAACCCACAACCUCAUGGUUCCUAGUCGUAUUUGUUAACCACUGAGCCAUGAAGGGAACUCCUGUUUUUAUCAAUUUUAUAAAAUUAUCACACAACCAUCAUAUGUGUGCUUUUAGCAGAAAACUUAAAGCAAGCAGUGAUAUAUGUCAUGAGUAGCUGUACUCUGUAAUUCACUAGAAAAUUUUCUUCCCAUCCUGAACAUUGAGGCAAAGAUAUAGCUGGAAAAAACAGUAGCUUUCAAUUUUGAUAGGGAGACAAAUAUUUGGUAAAUAGUACAACUGAAUUAGUAGGAUGGAUCUUAUAAUUCAGGUCUAGCUUCUUGGAUCGGUUGUCUAUGAUUGCUGUUGUCUUCUUGACCUGUUGUACAUGAAUUUUCUCCUCUGUUUGAGUAUUGUUUUAUGGUGAGUUUGAGGUCGGAAGUCCUCUCUAAAGACCAGUCCAGUGCAGGGGCCUUUUUAAAGUAGGAAAUAUAAAUUUGAGUCAAUCCCCUUUAUUGUACAUGAACUAGUUAAGAGUACUUGAUAUGAGUUCUUCAAUCCAGUUUGGAAGUCCUUUAAGUGAUGUCUUUUCCAGGGUGCACAACUUCUUGGUUACUAUUCAUGGAACACCUGUUCUUCAUCCAAAAAUAUAUCACUGUGGUAAGCUUCAGAAGUAAGCUUAGAAUGUCCUUUUAAUAAUUCGAUUAAACUCUGCAAUAACAUAACAUAGCGACAAAAAGCCAUCUAGGAAGUGAGUCUUAGGCAGUAAAUACUAAACCUCAAAGACAAUUAAUAACACAGGAACUUAAUAUCCACAGAGGUAUAUUACUGAAACAUAGGUUUUCUCUCUCAAACUACCCUCAUUUCUACCCAAAACAGCCAAAUUAAGAUUAAUUUGUUUGCAAAAUAAGACUGGUUUCAAUAAACUUGUCUUGAUUAUUUGCAUAAUUGAUCAUAUAGAUUCAUUUUAAUUGGCUUUGCUGGAACUUUUCAUAAGGAAUCUCCACUUGACUUUAAAAAAAUCUCUCAAGGCCAGGAAAGACAUGCCAAGGACUUGCUCUCAGAUUUCACCUGCAAUACCUACAGAUUUGAGUGGAUCCCUCUCUUCUUGAGGUUCAUAAUAUCUUCAGGUUCCUAUACCUGCUAGGAAAUGGUCUUUCUUAUUCACUUGGUAAGGCUGUGAGGAAUCCUGUAAGCAAGGUACCAAGUUGUUUUUCCAAGGGAAUUUAUGGCUCCAUAAAGUCAACUCUAGUUCUUUAAAGCUGUCUGGCCAUAUUUGAUUUUAUGCAUUUUCCCAAAUGAGACAUUUCAGUCAAAGUCAAGGUAAUGUAGCCAAUAUUUCCAAUGUGUCCUGUUAUGAGGAGAACAUAUACUUUGGGGUGGGGGGCACCUGUGGCAUAUGGAAGUUCCAAGGUUAGGGGUGGAAUCAGAGCUGCAGCUGUUGGCCUAUGCCACAGCCACACCACUGGCCUACGCCGCAGCCACAGCAAAGGGGGAUCUAAGCUGCUUCUGCGACCUACACCACAGCUCACGGCAGUGCUGGAUCCUUAACCCACUGAGCGAGGCCAGGGACUGAACCCACCUCCUCGUGGUUCCUAGUUGGAUUCGUUUCCGCUGUGCCACGACGGGAACUCCUUGGUUUGGUUUUUGCUGUUUUUUAGGGCCGCAUCCAUGGCAUAUGGAGGUUCCCAGGCUAGGUGUCUAAUUGGAGCUACAGCUGCUGGCCUACACAACAGCCACAGCCACACGGGAUCCAAGCUGCUUCUGUGACCUAUACCACAGCUCAUGGCAGCGCUGGAUCUUUGACCCACUCACUGAACGAGGCCAGGGAUUGAACCGGCAUCCUCAUGGAUCCUAGUCAGGUUCAUUAACCAUUGAGCCACAAAAGAAACUCCACAGCUAUUGUUU
ensembl:lncRNA